rnacentral:tRNA from 1 species
GGCCGGUUAGCUCAGUUGGUUAGAGCAUGGUGCUAAUAACGCCAAGGUUGCGGGUUCGAUCCAAGUACGCCGCCG